rnacentral:tmRNA from 1 species
GGGGGUGAAAGCAUUGACAGAGAUUUUUGUUAAAAUAGGCAGGUCAAGUUGUUAGGCCUUGUAAAAACUAACAAACAACAUAAGUGCUAACUUAUUUCAAAAACCUGCUUUGGCUUACGCUUAAAAGCAGCAUCCUCUUUGCUAAUUCUCGAUAAGCAAAAAAGGGUGUUAUAAUAUCGAGAUACUUGGUUAUUCCGCCUCAAAUGACUAAGGAAACGCAGGGGCUUAGUGGCGCUAAAAUUUUGUCUAUUUUUAUUUAGCGCUAUGAAAAACAAAACAGACUAAACCUGUAGAAAUAUUUUAACAAAGUUUCUGGACGCGGGGUCGUUCCCGCCACCUCCACCC